rnacentral:rRNA from 1 species
UACGUAGGGUGCAAGCGUUGUCCGGAAUUAUUGGGCGUAAAGAGCUCGUAGGCGGUCUGUCACGUCGGACGUGAAAAUCCAGGGCUCAACCCUGGACCUGCGUUCGAUACGGGCAGACUAGAGUUCGGUAGGGGAGACUGGAAUUCCUGGUGUAGCGGUGAAAUGCGCAGAUAUCAGGAGGAACACCGGUGGCGAAGGCGAGUCCCUGGACAACUCCUGACACUGAUGCACGAAAGCUAGGGGAGCAAACAGG